AUGCCAAUUAAUUUAACUUGGGAGUCAGAACAUGGGUGAUAAGGUCCGUGUUCGAAAGGGAAACAGCCCAGACCACCAGCUAAGGUCCCAAAAUAUAUGUUAAGUGGAAAAGGAUGUGGCGUUGCCCAGACAACUAGGAUGUUGGCUUAGAAGCAGCCAUCAUUUAAAGAGUGCGUAAUAGCUCACUAGUCGAGUGACACUGCGCCGAAAAUGUACCGGGGCUAAACAUAUUACCGAAGCUGUGGAUUGUCCUUUGGACAAUGGUAGGAGAGCGUUCUAAGGGCGUUGAAGCAUGAUCGUAAGGACAUGUGGAGCGCUUAGAAGUGAGAAUGCCGGUGUGAGUAGCGAAAGACGGGUGAGAAUCCCGUCCACCGAUUGACUAAGGUUUCCAGAGGAAGGCUCGUCCGCUCUGGGUUAGUCGGGUCCUAAGCUGAGGCCGACAGGCGUAGGCGAUGGAUAACAGGUUGAUAUUCCUGUACCACCUAUAAUCGUUUUAAUCGAUGGGGGGACGCAGUAGGAUAGGCGAAGCGUGCGAUUGGAUUGCACGUCUAAGCAGUAAGGCUGAGUAUUAGGCAAAUCCGGUACUCGUUAAGGCUGAGCUGUGAUGGGGAGAAGACAUUGUGUCUUCGAGUCGUUGAUUUCACACUGCCGAGAAAAGCCUCUAGAUAGAAAAUAGGUGCCCGUACCGCAAACCGACACAGGUAGUCAAGAUGAGAAUUCUAAGGUGAGCGAGCGAACUCUCGUUAAGGAACUCGGCAAAAUGACCCCGUAACUUCGGGAGAAGGGGUGCUCUUUAGGGUUAACGCCCAGAAGAGCCGCAGUGAAUAGGCCCAAGCGACUGUUUAUCAAAAACACAGGUCUCUGCUAAACCGUAAGGUGAUGUAUAGGGGCUGACGCCUGCCCGGUGCUGGAAGGUUAAGAGGAGUGGUUAGCUUCUGCGAAGCUACGAAUCGAAGCCCCAGUAAACGGCGGCCGUAACUAUAACGGUCCUAAGGUAGCGAAAUUCCUUGUCGGGUAAGUUCCGACCCGCACGAAAGGCGUAACGAUUUGGGCACUGUCUCAACGAGAGACUCGGUGAAAUCAUAGUACCUGUGAAGAUGCAGGUUACCCGCGACAGGACGGAAAGACCCCGUGGAGCUUUACUGUAGCCUGAUAUUGAAAUUCGGCACAGCUUGUACAGGAUAGGUAGGAGCCUUUGAAACGUGAGCGCUAGCUUACGUGGAGGCGCUGGUGGGAUACUACCCUAGCUG
rnacentral:rRNA from 1 species